GUGCAGCCGCCGCGGUAAUACCGGCAGCUCGAGUGAUGACCGAUUUUAUUGGGCCUAAAGCGUCCGUAGCUGGCCGCGCAAGUCUGUCGGGAAAUCCACCCGCUUAACGGGUGGGCGUCCGGCGGAAACUGUGCGGCUUGGGACAGGAAGGCUCGAGGGGUACGUUCGGGGUAGGAGUGAAAUCCCGUAAUCCUGAACGGACCACCGAUGGCGAAAGCACCUCGAGAGGACUGAUCCGACAGUGAGGGACGAAAGCUGGGGUCUCGAACCGGAUUAGAUACCCUCGUAGUCC
rnacentral:rRNA from 1 species